rnacentral:rRNA from 1 species
GUGUGCCUACCCUACGCCGGCAGGCGCGGGUAACCCGUUGAACCCCAUUCGUGAUGGGGAUCGGGGAUUGCAAUUAUUCCCCAUGAACGAGGAAUUCCCAGUAAGUGCGGGUCAUAAGCUUGCGUUGAUUAAGUCCCUGCCCUUUGUACACACCGCCCGUCGCUACUACCGAUUGGAUGGUUUAGUGAGGCCCUCGGAUCGGCCCCGCCGGGGUCGGCCCACGGCCCUGGCGGAGCGCUGAGAAGACGGUCGAACUUGACUAUCUAGAGGAAGUAAAAGUCGUAACAAGGUUUCCGUAGGUGAACCUGCAGAAGGAUC